rnacentral:tRNA from 2 species
UCCUCGGUAGCUCAGUUGGUAGAGCAAGUGACUGUUAAUCACUGGGUCGGCGGUUCGAGCCCGUCCCGAGGAGCCA